AUAUGAGGCGGGCUGGACCUCUCGGGGUUACAGCCUUGCUGAAUUAUUCACCCUUGUCUUUUGCGUACUUCUUGUUUCCUUGGUGGGUUCGCCCACCACUAGGACAAACAUAAACCUUUUGUAAUUGCAAUCAGCGUCAGUAACAAAUUAAUAAUUACAACUUUCAACAACGGAUCUCUUGGUUCUGGCAUCGAUGAAGAACGCAGCGAAAUGCGAUAAGUAGUGUGAAUUGCAGAAUUCAGUGAAUCAUCGAAUCUUUGAACGCACAUUGCGCCCUUUGGUAUUCCAAAGGGCAUGCCUGUUCGAGCGUCAUUUGUACCCUCAAGCUUUGCUUGGUGUUGGGCGUCUUGUCUCUAGCUUUGCUGGAGACUCGCCUUAAAGUAAUUGGCAGCCGGCCUACUGGUUUCGGAGCGCAGCACAAGUCGCACUCUCUAUCAGCAAAGGUCUAGCAUCCAUUAAGCCUUUUUUUUCAACUUUUGACCUCGGAUCAGGUAGGGAUACCCGCUGAACUUAAGCAUAUCAAUA
rnacentral:rRNA from 1 species